rnacentral:rRNA from 1 species
AUUGAACGCUGGCGGCAGGCUUAACACAUGCAAGUCGAACGGUAGCAGGAGAAAGCUUGCUUUCUUGCUGACGAGUGGCGGACGGGUGAGUAAUGCUUGGGAAUCUGGCUUAUGGAGGGGGAUAACGACGGGAAACUGUCGCUAAUACCGCGUAGUAUCGGAAGAUGAAAGUGCGGGACCGCAAGGCCGCAUGCCAUAAGAUGAGCCCACGUGGGAUUAGGUAGUUGGUGGGGUAAAGGCCUACCAAGCCUGCGAUCUCUAGCUGGUCUGAGAGGAUGGCCAGCCACACUGGAACUGAGACACGGUCCAGACUCCUACGGGAGGCAGCAGUGGGGAAUAUUGCGCAAUGGGGGGAACCCUGACGCAGCCAUGCCGCGUGAAUGAAGAAGGCCUUCGGGUUGUAAAGUUCUUUCGGUAUUGAGGAAGGAGUGUAUGUUAAUAGCAUACAUUAUUGACGUUAAAUACAGAAGAAGCACCGGCUAACUCCGUG